rnacentral:misc_RNA from 1 species
AACGCACCUUGCGCUCCUUGGUAUUCCGAGGAGCAUGCCUGUUUGAGUGUCGUGAACAUAUCAACUCCGACGGGAUUUUAAUCUCGACGGUGGCUUGGACUUGGGAGCCUGCUGGCCGUUGUAUUUCGGUCGGCUCUCCUUGAAUGCAUUAGCUUGGACUUGUUUCAUGGGCUGCAUAGCGUGAUAACUAUCUACGCUUUGUACUGUCUGUGGGAUACUCAUGAGUCUGGCUUCUAAUCGUCCUCUGGACAAUUACUUUACGUUUUGACCUCAAAUCAGGUAGGACUACCCGCUGAACUUAA